AUUGAACGCUGGCGGUAUGCUUAACACAUGCAAGUCGAACGAUGAGAAAGAGCUUGCCCUUUCGAUUAGUGGCGGACGGGUGCGUAACGCGUAGGAAUCUACCUAUUAGUGGGGGACAACUUAGGGAAACUUAAGCUAAUACCGCAUACGCCCUACGGGGGAAAGAAGGGGAUCGCAAGACCUUUUGCUAAUAGAUGAGCCUGCGUAGGAAUAGCUAGUUGGUGGGGUAAAAGCUCACCAAGGCGACGAUCCUUAACUGGUUUGAGAGAAUGAUCAGUCACACUGGAACUGAGACACCGUCCAGAAUCCCACGGGAGGGAGGAGGUGGGAAUAUUGGGAAAUGGGCGAAAGGCUGAUCCAGCAAUACCGCGUGUGUGAAGAAGGCCUUAGGGUUGGAAAGCCCCUUUAAUUGGGAGGAAAACCUCGAAGCUAAUACCUUCGAGUUUGACAUUACCUUUAGAAGAAGCACCGGCUAACUCCGUGCCAGCAGCCGCAGUAAAAC
rnacentral:rRNA from 1 species